GGUUUGAAUCCCGUCGGUUGCAACUUUUUUUUGUGUGUUGCAAAAAUUGUACAUGCAGUGUGUAAUAUUAAGUGUUUAUUUUGACGAAGGUGAUGUGCAUGCUUUUGCAUGCGAUUUUACCAUCGGAUUUUUUGCUGUGUAGAAAAAAUAAAUUAAUCAGCAUUUUGAUCACGGAAAUGGAUUCUACGUCCAAUUUCCUUUAAAAUUGAGUCUAAGACCGACCUUCUAAGAUGUGUGGUUCCUGAGUUAUCGCCGUUUGAAGAUAGGGGUUUUGCUCAAAAAUCGUCAAAAAGUCGAUAUUUUGGGAGGGUACAAAAAUGGAGGGGGUGGUCCGAUUUGGAUGAAAUUCGGGAUUCUUGCAUGUUUUGAUAGUAUCAACAGCCCUGCCAAAUUUGAGCAGGAUCGGAGAGGGUAAUUUUCAAAUUUGCACUUUUUCGUGCACAGUUGAGAUGGAAUGACCCAUAUAAUAA